AAUAAACGCUGGCGGCGUGCCUAACACAUGCAAGUCGAGCGAGAAAGCUUCUUCGGAAGUAAGUAGAGCGGCGAACGGGUGAGUUACGCGUGAGAAUCUACCUUUUAGUGAAGGAUACCUUUGAGAAAUCGAAGUUAAUACUGCAUAAGUCCCUACGGGGAGAAAGAUGGCCUCUUUGCUGUCGCUAGAAGAUGAGCUUGCGUGCUAUUAGCUAGUUGGUGGGGUAAAGGCCUACCAAGGCGAUGGUGGCUAGCCGGCCUGAGAGGGUGUACGGCCACACUGGAACUUAGACACGGUCCAGACUUCUACGGGAGGCAGCAGUGAGGAAUAUUGCGCAAUGGGCGAAAGCCUGACGCAGCGACGCCGCGUGGAGGAUGAAGGUCUUUGGAUUGUAAACUCCUGUUAAGUGGGAAGAAACAUCUGUUUUUAAUAGAAGCAGAUAAUGACGGUACCAUUAGAGAAAGCACUGGCUAACCUCGUGCCAGCAGCCGCGGUAAUACGAGGGGUGCAAGCGUUAUUCGGAAUUAUUGGGCGUAAAGGGUGCGUAGGCGGCGUACUAAGUCAACUGUUAAAUUCCUCGGCCUAACCGAGGCCCUGCAGUAGAUACUGGUAUGCUAGAGGGUGGAAGAGAGAAGUGGAAUUCUCGGAGUAGCGGUAAAAUGCGUAGAUCUCGAGAGGAACACCAAUGGCGAAGGCAGCUUCUUGGUCCACACCUGACGCUGAGGCACGAAAGCGUGGGGAGCAAACAGGAUUAGAUACCCUGGUAGUCCACGCUGUAAACGAUGAUCACUAGACGUUAGUUUUGCAUUGGCAAAUUAGUGUCGUAGCUAACGCGUAAGUGAUUCGCCUGGGGGAGUACGGUCGCAGGACUAAAACUCAAAGGAUUGACGGGGGUCCGCACAAGCGGUGGAACAUGUGUUUAUUUCGACACUACGCGAGGGAACUUUUACUAGCUUGACAUGUUUUUGACAGUUGUAGAAAUACAAUCUUCCGGGCUUCGGUUCGGACAAUUACACAGGUGCUGCAUGGCUGUCGUCAGCUCGUGUCGUGAGAUGUUUGGUUAAGUCCUCUAACGAGCGCAACUCCUGUCGUCAGUUGCUACUUCUAACGAAGGCACUCUGACGAGACUGCCUGGGAAACCAGGAGGAAGGUGGGAAUGACGUCAAGUCCUCAUGGUCCUUAUGCCUAGGGCUACACACGUGUUACAAUGGCUAGUACAGAGGGUUGCAAAGUCGUAAGAUGAAGCUAAUCCCAGAAAACUAGUCUAAGUUCGGAUUGAGGUCUGCAACUCGACCUCAUGAAGUUGAAAUCGCUAGUAAUCGCAUAUCAGAACGAUGCGGUGAAUACGUUCUCGGACCUUGUACACACCGCCCGUCACACCACGAAAGUUGUUUGUACCCAAAGCCAUUUUAGCUAACCUGUAAAGGAGGCGGAUGUCUAAGGUAUGAAGAGUAAUUGGGGUG
rnacentral:rRNA from 1 species